rnacentral:rRNA from 1 species
CGCCAGACUCCUACGGGAGGCAGCAGUGAGGAAUAUUGGUCAAUGGGCUUACGCCUGAACCAGCCAAGUCGCGUGAGGGAAGACUGCCCUAUGGGUUGUAAACCUCUUUUGUCAGGGAGCAAUUGGCGCUACGUGUAGCGUUAUCGAGAGUACCUGAAGAAAAAGCAUCGGCUAACUCCGUGCCAGCAGCCGCGGUAAUACGGAGGAUGCGAGCGUUAUCCGGAUUUAUUGGGUUUAAAGGGUGCGUAGGCGGAAUGCCAAGUCAGCGGUAAAAUCGCGGGGCUCAACCUCUUCGAGCCGUUGAAACUGGUUUUCUUGAGUGAGCGAGAAGUAUGCGGAAUGCGUGGUGUAGCGGUGAAAUGCAUAGAUAUCACGAAGAACCCCGAUUGCGAAGGCAGCUUACUAAACUGUGACUGACAUUGAUGCUCGAAAGUGUGGGUAUCAAACAGGAUUAGAUACCCCAGUA